CAGCAGCCACGGGAAUACGUAGGGCGCAAGCGUUAUCCGGAAUCAUUGGGCGUAAAGAGCUCGUAGGCGGUUUGUCGCGUCUGCCGUGAAAGUCCGGGGCUCAACCCCGGAUCUGCGGUGGGUACGGGCAGACUAGAGUGAUGUAGGGGAGACUGGAAUUCCUGGUGUAGCGGUGAAAUGCGCAGAUAUCAGGAGGAACACCGAUGGCGAAGGCAGGUCUCUGGGCAUUAACUGACGCUGAGGAGCGAAAGCAUGGGGAGCGAACAGGAUUAGAUACCCCGGUAGUCCCUGUCUCUUAUAC
rnacentral:rRNA from 1 species